AUACGGAGGGAGCAAGCGUUAUUCGGUAUCACUGGGCGUAAAGGACGCGUAGGCGGGUUUGUAAGUCAGGUGUGAAAUCCUACAGCUCAACUGUAGAACUGCACUUGAAACUACAGACCUAGAGUAUGGAAGGGGCAGAUGGAAUUAGUGGUGUAGGGGUAAAAUCCGUAGAUAUCACUAGGAAUACCGAAAGCGAAGGCGAUCUGCUGGGACAUUACUGACGCUGAGGCGUGAAAGCGUGGGGAGCAAACAGGAUUAGAAACCCUUGUAGUCC
rnacentral:rRNA from 1 species